rnacentral:tRNA from 7 species
GGGGCGUUAGCUCAAUUGGUAGAGCUGCGGACUUUUAAUCCGUAGGUUCUGGGUUCGAGCCCCAGGCGCCCCA